CAGUCGCCACGGUAAUACGUAGGUGGCAAGCGUUGUCCGGAAUUAUUGGGCGUAAAGCGCGCGCAGGUGGUUUAAUAAGUCUGAUGUGAAAGCCCACGGCUCAACCGUGGAGGGUCAUUGGAAACUGUUAAACUUGAGUGCAGGAGAGAAAAGUGGAAUUCCUAGUGUAGCGGUGAAAUGCGUAGAGAUUAGGAGGAACACCAGUGGCGAAGGCGGCUUUUUGGCCUGUAACUGACACUGAGGCGCGAGAGCGUGGGGAGCAAACAGGAUUAGAUACCCCUGUAGUCCCUGUCUCUUAUAC
rnacentral:rRNA from 1 species